rnacentral:tRNA from 1 species
GCGCCCGUAGCUCAGCUGGAUAGAGCGCUGCCCUCCGGAGGCAGAGGUCUCAGGUUCGAAUCCUGUCGGGCGCACCG